UUGGAACGGCAGGCGGGAAGUGCUCUAGCAGGGGAGUCUAAACUUGUGAGGGAAUACCUGUGUCCCCCCUUUUUUCCCCUUUUUACCCAAUAAAACCCUGCCUCACUCACCCUUUAAAUCAUCUGCGAGCCUAAAUUUUCAUGGCCGUGGGACGGACAAGAACUUUGUCUUCAGCUGAACUAAGAAAAAGUCCUGCAACAUUUUUGGCGCGCAAUGUGGGGGCACCAGAAGCGAUGAGAACCCAUUGGAACACACUGUAGGGGUGUUUCACUGCAAAAGCUUGGCAUAGACAACUGGAGCAAACGAGGGAUUUUUCUUCAAAACCAGCAGGGCACCGUUGAGCUGUUGCAACUGUUCUGCUGGAGCCUUAUGUAUGUGGUUGAAACCACCUGUACUACUGGAAUGAAAGCACCUUUACAGAAGAGGCAAUGCAAGUUGUAUUAAUCACAUGUGUAGAAUCAAUUAAGAUUUAUGCCAGUUGCAAAGAAGAAUAUUGGCUCACUAUUUUUCCUCUGGGCAUGUGGAAAUGUAAAUCAGUCCAUGUUACUCACCUCGGAGAAGCAGAAGUACGAUUUACUAUUGUUGCUUGCCUACUUACUCUUAUCAGUUUCUAUGAGAGACCAUAUGAUGUCCUGAAAAUUCUUCCACAAUAUUUAACCAACACUUUCCAGAAAAACUUCAUUUAUCUCCAUGUACCAAUGUUUUGGGGUCCAGCCCAAUUCCUGUCCCUUCAGUGAAGCCUUGUUUAAUUUUACCAAUAAAUAAUAGCUCUCUUUUUUGAA